rnacentral:rRNA from 1 species
GAUGAACGCUGGCGGCGUGCCUAAUACAUGCAAGUCGAGCGAACAGACGAGGAGCUUGCUCCUCUGACGUUAGCGGCGGACGGGUGAGUAACACGUGGAUAACCUUCCUAUAAGACUGGGAUAACUUCGGGAAACCGGAGCUAAUACCGGAUAAUAUAUUGAACCGCAUGGUUCAAUAGUGAAAGACGGUUUUGCUGUCACUUAUAGAUGGAUCCGCGCCGCAUUAGCUAGUUGGUAAGGUAACGGCUUACCAAGGCAACGAUGCGUAGCCGACCUGAGAGGGUGAUCGGCCACACUGGAACUGAGACACGGUCCAGACUCCUACGGGAGGCAGCAGUAGGGAAUCUUCCGCAAUGGGCGAAAGCCUGACGGAGCAACGCCGCGUGAGUGAUGAAGGUCUUCGGAUCGUAAAACUCUGUUAUUAGGGAAGAACAAAUGUGUAAGUAACUAUGCACGUCUUGACGGUACCUAAUCAGAAAGCCGCGGCUAACUACGUG